GGAGCUAAUACUGGAUAAUAUUUUGUAACCGCAUGGUUCAAAAGUGAAAGACGGUCUUGCUGUCACUUAUAGAUGGAUUCGCGCUGCAUUAGCUAGUUGGUAAGGUAACGGCUUACCAAGGCAACGAUGCAUAGCCGACCUGAGAGGGUGAUCGGCCACACUGGAACUGAGACACGGUCCAG
rnacentral:rRNA from 1 species